rnacentral:rRNA from 1 species
GACGAACGCUGGCGGCGUGCUUAACACAUGCAAGUCGAACGGAAAGGCCCUGCUUGCAGGGUACUCGAGUGGCGAACGGGUGAGUAACACGUGGGUGAUCUGCCCUGCACUUCGGGAUAAGCUUGGGAAACUGGGUCUAAUACCGGAUAGGACCGCACCUUAGUGUGUGUGGUGGAAAGUUUUUUCGGUGUAGGAUGAGCUCGCGGCCUAUCAGCUUGUUGGUGGGGUAAUGGCCUACCAAGGCGGCGACGGGUAGCCGGCCUGAGAGGGUGUACGGCCACAGUGGGUCUGAGAUACGGCCCAGACUCCUACGGUAGGCAGCAGUGUGGAAUAUUGCACAAUGGGCGCAAGCCUGAUGCAGCGACGCCGCGUGGGGGAUGAAGUCCUUCGGGUUGUAAACUCCUUUCGCUAGGGACGAAGCUUUUUGUGACGGUACCUAGAUAAGAAGCACCGGCUAACUACGUG